CUUGAAUGACUCAGCCCCUCCCAGAAAGACGCCUGUGUCGACCCAGCCACUUCAGUCAGGUCAACGCUUGUUCCCCAGCGCCGGAAGGUUUAGGAACUUCUGCUACUUAGAAGAAGGCAGUGCGAGGAACAAGCAGGCCCAGCUGCCCAAGGACACAUCAUUCGUGGGGAGAUGAGACGGUGCACCUGGCCAUGGCCAGGAGGCAGAGGAGACGAGCUCUGCAGGAGUGGAGUUCCCGGAGCCCAGGACCGGGACGUGAAUGGAAGGCAACCAACCUACGCCUGACCUAUGACCACAGGCUGGGAGGCCCGUUCCAUAACAAACGUUCCAGACUUACGUAUCCAUCCUCUGCAGCUGUCUUUUGUCGCCAGUGCAGAGUUCCUCCAGGUGCCCUGGUCCUGGCUCUACUCACAGGGAAGUAGGUCAGUGAAGGGACGUGCUCAGGAUUAGAGACCGCGGUGGGAGAUAAGAAGAUCUUUGAGACCCGGACAACCUCCUGCAAGAGGCCUCUCCUCAGGGCAGCUCCAGCGAGGACCUGGGAACCGAGCACCUAGGCCGAGAUGGAGUUCGAAGAGGGCGCGUCCUGCAAGAGGGACUUGAGAGACUUCAAGACAAGGCGCAUGGAGGGUAUGUCAGGUGGGCCAUGAGAUAUUGUUCCCAGAGCCCUCGGAGUCCCCUGGGUAAAGGGCCAUUUAACCACAGAUUAUCAUCUGGCUGUUACUUGUGUCUGCCAUAGCAGCCAUAACAAUGGGUACCACAAAUGUCAGCCCUGGGGCCCUGUUGCCUCACACCUUUAACAAGGGCUGGGGGUGGAAAUGAGUCGAUGAAGCUUGUGUUGAUCCAGAAGCCUUUCAGCUGGCCAGGGCAUGGGGCCGAGAGAAACCCCAGAUGGAGCUGAUCUCCUCUGGGCCCAAGGCAAGGAUGGCAGCUAAAAUUUAACUCAAACACACGCAAGGUGAGGCAUGUGGAGCGAAAGCUCAGCUCAGCAUCUUUUAUGAGACACGACAGGACUUAGGGCAGAGCCUUGAGAGGCUGGGGCCAGCCACAGGGAGUGGGACUCACUCAGUUCAGGGCAGAGGCUCACCUUAGUCACCAAGCCAGUUGGAGAGGGGC